GGGCGCAUAACUCAGCUGGUUCAGAGUGCCUGCCUUACAAGCAGGGAGUCGGAGGUUCGAAUCCUUCUGCGCCCA
rnacentral:tRNA from 1 species